CUUGGUGACAAAAGCGGAGAGGACCCACCUGUUCCCAUACCGAACACAGCAGUUAAGCUCUCCAGCGGUGAUGGUACUGCCACAUCUCGUGGCGGGAGAGUAACUCGUUGCCGGGA
rnacentral:rRNA from 1 species